GUGCAUUUGGGGAUUGUGCUUUGAGCUUGGUGCCUGUAGCUAACGUGAU
rnacentral:rRNA from 1 species